CAUUUAAAGAAAGCGUAAUAGCUCACUGGUCGAGUCGGCCUGCGCGGAAGAUGUAACGGGGCUAAACCAUGCACCGAAGCUGCGGCAGCGACACUAUGUGUUGUUGGGUAGGGGAGCGUUCUGUAAGCCUGCGAAGGUGUGCUGUGAGGCAUGCUGGAGGUAUCAGAAGUGCGAAUGCUGACAUAAGUAACGAUAAAGCGGGUGAAAAGCCCGCUCGCCGGAAGACCAAGGGUUCCUGUCCAACGUUAAUCGGGGCAGGGUGAGUCGACCCCUAAGGCGAGGCCGAAAGGCGUAGUCGAUGGGAAACAGGUUAAUAUUCCUGUACUUGGUGUUACUGCGAAGGGGGGACGGAGAAGGCUAUGUUAGCCGGGCGACGGUUGUCCCGGUUUAAGCAUGUAGGCUGGUUGUCCAGGCAAAUCCGGAUAAUCAAGGCUGAGGUGUGAUGACGAGGCACUACGGUGCUGAAGUAACAAAUGCCCUGCUUCCAGGAAAAGCCUCUAAGCAUCAGGUAACAUCAAAUCGUACCCCAAACCGACACAGGUGGUCAGGUAGAGAAUACCAAGGCGCUUGAGAKAACUCGGGUGAAGGAACUAGGCAAAAUGGUGCCGUAACUUCGGGAGAAGGCACGCUGGUGUGUAGGUGAAGCCCCUGCGGGUGGAGCUGAGACCAGUCGAAGAUACCAGCUGGCUGCAACUGUUUAUUAAAAACACAGCACUGUGCAAACACGAAAGUGGACGUAUACGGUGUGACGCCUGCCCGGUGCCGGAAGGUUAAUUGAUGGGGUUAUCCGUAAGGAGAAGCUCUUGAUCGAAGACCCCGGUAAACG
rnacentral:rRNA from 1 species